rnacentral:rRNA from 1 species
UACGUAGGGCGCAAGCGUUGUCCGGAAUUAUUGGGCGUAAAGAGCUCGUAGGCGGCUUGUCACGUCGGGGGUGAAAGCCCGGGGCUUAACCCCGGGUCUGCAUUAGAUACGGGCAGGCUAGAGUGUGGUAGGGGAGAGCGGAAUUCCUGGUGUAGCGGUGAAAUGCGCAGAUAUCAGGAGGAACACCGGUGGCGAAGGCGGACCUCUGGGCCAUUACUGACGCUGAGGAGCGAAAGCGUGGGGAGCGAACAGG